GUGAGCCUCCCAGGGCGGUCUGCAGGAGUCAGGUCUUAGGAAGCAAGUGCCUGUUGUGCGGGGACCCAUAGACCAGGGGACCCGGUCUGGAGCGGCACCAGAGGGCUUCCUGGAGGAACCCUUGGCACCCUUAACAGUAACUUGCAGGAACGCAGCGGGUGCACAGGGAACACUCCUUGCCUCACCGCUGCCAUAUUCGAAAAGGGAGAAAAGGACUUUUCCAUAAAUGAGUCUUAAACGUCUUGGAAGCAAGUUAAACUCAGCUUAUGCCCAAAUAUGGAGGGCAGAAACAUUCUGCAUGAACUUUUCCAUGUUCCUGAUGAUGUUAGCAAGAGACAGCCACUUGGGGCACAGAAGGAAGUUUUCCACCGGUCAAGGGCUGCAGGCUGCGGUCUGGGCGCAGAACCUCUUGCCGCUUCGGUGGCUGGGGGUCACAGCUGGCUGCAAGUACACUGUGUAGCAGUUAUACAGUCCAGACAGUGCGCGGGGUGGGAUUUAAGGAACAGAGCGGCAACUCGGGUCCUGCUGCUGCCAUGGCGGUGACACCCCAGGGACUCAAUGGAGAGGUGAACAUUCCAGACACUGGGAUCUUCCAUGUGCCAACGAAGCGGUCAUACCCCACCUCUAGGUGGACACUCUCCUUCGGGUGGCUCAGCGCUGUGCAAUUCUGGGUUCGUCUGUUAUACUAACUUGUCCUCUCAUUCCACCCCAUGGUCCCUUCCUUGCAGGAGAUGACAGGAAGAGGCAAAACCUGACUGGGGAGAAACAGGGCCUGCAGCCAACCAUGGACCCCGUGACCCCAAGAGUUACAACUGUCCUCUGUCUUCUGAGAGAUUCAGUUUGCAACUAACAUGGUACCUGGGGGAAUUACUGACUGAGGUGAAAAUGUUGGACUAUCAAAGAAUUUCCAACACAAUAUUUAUUCACAGAUUUCCAAGCAACUCUUCCGGGAGGUCAAGGAGGCCCUGAACAAGAGCCGCAGGAACCCCGGGAGAGGCCCACAGGACCAGGUUCAGGACAAGUAGGAUACCAUGCAAACUGCUUGUUCCUUUGCACUGUGAAAAGACUGGCCUUUUCCUUGGCCAGCCUCCUGGAACAGGAGCAGGGACCACCAAUUAGGAACCCCUUGACCAGCCUCAGACUCCAGACCCCAGAGGUGUUGCCCUCCAACACUGGAAACCAGGCGAGGGGGAGCACACCCCACCCCCAGAGCACGUCAUGGAGACAAUCGCUCCAGGUUAACAUGAAAACAAUUUGUGCAGACACAGCCCCUGAGCCAGGCAGACCAGAGCCCUAGGGAGGGCUCUGCUGAACUCUGACCUUGACAUUCACCAGAGGAGAGCGCAGCAGGCCAGCGUCAGGUAUGGCUGUGUGUGAACCUGGUUGGAGUCCCUCCAUGGGAACACUGGCACAAAAGAAGGGGCCGAGGUAAAACAAGUCUUUGGGGGAAUGAUUCCCUUUAAAAGUGGAUCUCUCUCUUCAGGAAACGAAAACUGUGCUGAACUCAUGUCCCCUGUGCUGGAGGGCCACAGCUCAUCCAUGCGCUCUGCUGUGGGCUCUAGCCUGAGUGGCCAGGCCCUGGUAAAGCUCACUUUCAAGAUAAAUGAGUCCACAGACACGCAGUGCCACUGGACAUGAUGAUACCCGGGGGCAAGAUUCUGUUCUGUAUUGUCUUCUAACUGCCAAGGUGAGGCAGUACCCCUGAUCACAGAAGGGUCUACAAGGACCAGGCAGGAGGCACGGCGUGAUUCUCUGCACACCACGGUGUUACACAGGCCAACCCCAUUUCCCACCACCCAUGCUCUUUACUUGGGGCUCCAGCUGUGGCCAAAGGCGUGUGAAUCUGGAAAGCAAGUACCACCUGGGGCCCUUGUGCAGCAGACAUCCUGAGGCAAGGGGGGGCGGACAGUGUAUAUUACGUUCUAAGUAAAAUAGCUAGAGGGUAAAACACUCCAAUGCCAGUUUAUUUUUAAAAAGGGUUCUGUGUCAUUCUAUGGUUUGUUUGCCCCCUGGUUUUGUUUGUUUUUUUUGUAUAAUUGUACAGCCUUUGAAAAUUACAUAAGUUGUAAUGAUCUAAUACUAUUAAUAGUCAUUCAGAAAAAACUUUCCUUCCCUCCCAGCAACUAUCCAGGGGGAACUGACGGUCCUGAGAAGAGGCCAAUUCAACGGGGCCUCUACCCUGGUGGAAACAAAAAGCAAAAAGAGGAGGGGGGAGAAAAAAACAACAACCAGAAAUCGACUAAGAGGUGUGUGGCCAGUGUCUCUCAGGAGUGGGGUCCUGGCUGUUGCCUGGGGUGAUGAGAGGCAGGGAGCCUGCAGCAUGCAGCACGGCAGCCGGGAGACCUCGCAGCCACAUCGUCCUCAGCCGGCGCGCCCGAGUCCCAGCCUAGGUGUCAUGGAAGUCCUUCAGCAGCGUUCUCCUCCGCUGCUCUGCUAUGUGCAUCUGGUUCUCUAAGUCCUGCACCAGGGAAGCAAGACACAGGCUUGCAUGGCCCAGCCCUGUGAGGAUGGGCUAGCUGAAGCCGCCCCCUGCCACGGGCUCCGAGGAGUCAAAAGCACGGCCCUCCCCACCCUUCUCAGCGGCAGCCUCUAGCCCCUAGGCCAGCCACCAUGGGACCGAUCACCACACCAGCUCUCCCUUGCCUGCCAGAGGGUCCUAGAGGACAGCAGUCACUUACCCCUCUGUCAUAGCUGUCCGCCCGCUCCACCUUCCAUGACAGGUUUUCAAUCUCAGCCUCCAGCUGAGCCUGCUGGUAUUCAAACUGUAUGGGUAGAGCAGGAAGGUCAAAAGGAGUGGGGACGGUAGCCAGGGCAGGGCCUGCAGACGGGAGGGGCAGAGGCAGCACCUCAGGCUCGCAGGAGCUCCAGACAGCCCGGGUGCUGUCCUCAGAGGGCAGUCCUACUUCCUGCACCCAGAGCCAGAGGCCGGCCCAAUGGCUGCCUGUGGAGGACAGCCACGUGGCCAGGCUGCACUCGCCCUCCACCCCCAGAGAAAGGGGAAGGACUGAAGCCACAGAGGAGAGUGCUCCCGACAUACGGGGAAAUGGCUGCUGCAAAAAUAAGUCAAAGUGGACAUUCACAGACUCUGCGCUCACUGAAUACUUUGUUUUUUUCCAGCCCUUCUGAAAAUCAAGAGUCUUCAAAAUUUUCAAACCAUUUGACUUAGCAAGUAUACACCUCUUGCACAAAGAGGUUUCCCAAUGUCUUAUUUGUGAUAGUGAAAAACAGAAAGAAUAAACACCUCAAAUGAU